rnacentral:rRNA from 1 species
UGCCACAGACAUAUCACCCUGCAGCCCAAGACUGGUUGCCCACUGAAGCUAAGCAGGGUUGAGCCUUUUCAGUACCUGGAUGGGAGACCUCCUGGGAAAACUAGGUUGCUGUUGGAA